GGAUUGUGGCUCAGUGGUAGAGUGCUUGCCUUGUACAUGUGAGGCACUGGGUUCAAUCCUCAGCACCA
rnacentral:tRNA from 1 species